rnacentral:rRNA from 1 species
GGAUGAACGCUGGCGGCGUGCCUAAUACAUGCAAGUCGAGCGAACAGAUAAGGAGCUUGCUCCUUUGACGUUAGCGGCGGACGGGUGAGUAACACGUGGGUAACCUACCUAUAAGACUGGAAUAACUCCGGGAAACCGGGGCUAAUGCCGGAUAACAUGUUGAACCGCAUGGUUCUACAGUGAAAGACGGUCUUGCUGUCACUUAUAGAUGGACCCGCGCCGUAUUAGCUAGUUGGUGGGGUAACGGCCUACCAAGGCGACGAUACGUAGCCGACCUGAGAGGGUGAUCGGCCACACUGGAACUGAGACACGGUCCAGACUCCUACGGGAGGCAGCAGUAGGGAAUCUUCCGCAAUGGGCGAAAGCCUGACGGAGCAACGCCGCGUGAGUGAUGAAGGUCUUCGGAUCGUAAAGCUCUGUUGUUAGGGAAGAACAAAUGUGUAAGUAACUGUGCACAUCUUGACGGUACCUAACCAGAAAGCCACGGCUAACUACGUGCCAGCAGCCGCGGUAAUACGUAGGUGGCAAGCGUUAUCCGGAAUUAUUGGGCGUAAAGCGCGCGUAGGCGGUUUUUUAAGUCUGAUGUGAAAGCCCACGGCUCAACCGUGGAGGGUCAUUGGAAACUGGAAAACUUGAGUGCAGAAGAGGAAAGUGGAAUUCCAUGUGUAGCGGUGAAAUGCGCAGAGAUAUGGAGGAACACCAGUGGCGAAGGCGGCUUUCUGGUCUGCAACUGACGCUGAUGUGCGAAAGCGUGGGGAUCAAACAGGAUUAGAUACCCUGGUAGUCCACGCCGUAAACGAUGAGUGCUAAGUGUUAGGGGGUUUCCGCCCCUUAGUGCUGCAGCUAACGCAUUAAGCACUCCGCCUGGGGAGUACGGUCGCAAGACUGAAACUCAAAGGAAUUGACGGGGACCCGCACAAGCGGUGG